UUUCUGGCGAAAUUUUCGUACGAACUACGCGUGAAUUAUUGUAAUUUGUGCAUCACGACAUGUUACCGAGGUUAAAAAAGAGGUUAUCUUGCCUUGUCACCACUAAUCAAAAUUAUCUUGACACGGAAUUUAAAUGCUCAUCCUUUUUAUCACGUACAGAUAAUUUGGUUGUAAUAUUGACGAGAUAACCACAAAAAAAACUUGCUUUUUGUUAACAUUCACCAUACAUGUGACAAGGAUGACUGUAUGAGUAUACGUGAUUGUGUCAUUAAAGCAUUCAAAAGUAGAUCCGCAGAAAAUGGAAAUAGCAUAGUCAGAAUUCAAUGAAUGCAAUGCCACCUCCCAGCAGGAAUAGUAUUGCCCAAAAAGAAAAUAACCCGAGGAAGGUCUGCUGAACCUAAACAAACAAAAUGUCAACUCGAAAGCUUAGAACUUCUAGGAGUUUAUCAAAAGACAAAAAAUUAUCACCAAAUACAUUUGAAACACCGGCAAGAAAUCAGACACCGUACCAUAUGGCGGCUGUCACGCCGAGUAUAAAGUGUCAGACUCCUGCACCGAUUUAUAGAAAGCCGACAAUGGGAGAACAGGUCAUUUCAAUGUCAGGAAGCCUGCUGAUGGUACCCCUCUACUCUGAUGCCGAGGAGCCUCAGUUACACAUCCCACUAUUUGAUGGAAGGGUUUUUGCAGUCAUGCCACAAGAGAAUUUAGAGUGUCCCAAAUCUUACCGAUAUCGAUCCUGGUACAAUAGAGAAGCUUAAAAGGCUUCAUCAAUUUCUCCAGGAAAAAGUGCUGAAAUCAAUUUUAUGUAGAAUUUCCUAAAAAUGAAUUCACAGAAGAAGAAAAGAACAGUCUCAAAGAAAUUCUCAAACAGAAAUCUGUGAACAACGUUUAUAAUGGAUUACAUGGUUUCUAGCUGUGGAGACAUUAAAAACAAAAGUUAUAUUUAUAGGUCAAUUUUUAUAAAUACCAAAAAUGUUGGGUGCUACUCUUGCAAAACAGAGACAAAAAGUUAUUCCCACUUAAAAUGUUAAAUGAGAGACUAAAUGUUGACCUGUUAUUUGUGUAAGAUGAAUUUUUGUACAUUUCAAAUUGUGUCUGAUUGUUUCCUAUAUCAGUGUUUUUAAAGUGUAUGAGUUUGAAAAAUCUUCAAUUUAAACUGGUAGUUUUCCUUGAGAAAUUUUUGACUUAGAUCUAUCUAUUUUUUUUUUUUUUUUGAAUUAUUA